UUAAGCGACUAAGCGUACACGGUGGAUGCCCUGGCAGUCAGAGGCGAUGAAGGACGUGCUAAUCUGCGAAAAGCGUCGGUAAGGUGAUAUGAACCGUUAUAACCGGCGAUGUCCGAAUGGGGAAACCCAGUGCAAUUCGUUGCACUAUCGUUAACUGAAUACAUAGGUUAACGAGGCGAACCGGGGGAACUGAAACAUCUAAGUACCCCGAGGAAAAGAAAUCAACCGAGAUUCCCCCAGUAGCGGCGAGCGAACGGGGAGCAGCCCAGAGUCUGAAUCAGCUUGUGUGUUAGUGGAACGGUCUGGAAAGUCCGACGGUACAGGGUGAUAGUCCCGUACACCAAAAUGCACAGGUUGUGAACUCGAAGAGUAGGGCGGGACACGUGGUAUCCUGUCUGAAUAUGGGGGGACCAUCCUCCAAGGCUAAAUACUCCUGACUGACCGAUAGUGAACCAGUACCGUGAGGGAAAGGCGAAAAGAACCCCGGCGAGGGGAGUGAAAAAGAACCUGAAACCGUGUACGUACAAGCAGUGGGAGCACCUUCGGGUGUGACUGCGUACCUUUUGUAUAAUGGGUCAGCGACUUAUAUUCUGUAGCAAGGUUAACCGUAUAGGGGAGCCGCAGGGAAACCGAGUCUUAACUGGGCGUUAAGUUGCAGGGUAUAGACCCGAAACCCGGUGAUCUAGCCAUGGGCAGGUUGAAGGUUGGGUAACACUAACUGGAGGACCGAACCGACUAAUGUUGAAAAAUUAGCGGAUGACUUGUGGCUGGGGGUGAAAGGCCAAUCAAACCGGGAGAUAGCUGGUUCUCCCCGAAAGCUAUUUAGGUAGCGCCUCGUGAAUUCAUCUUCGGGGGUAGAGCACUGUUUCGGCUAGGGGGUCAUCCCGACUUACCAACCCGAUGCAAACUACGAAUACCGAAGAAUGUUAUCACGGGAGACACACGGCGGGUGCUAACGUCCGUCGUGAAGAGGGAAACAACCCAGACCGCCAGCUAAGGUCCCAAAGUCAUGGUUAAGUGGGAAACGAUGUGGGAAGGCACAGACAGCCAGGAUGUUGGCUUAGAAGCAGCCAUCAUUUAAAGAAAGCGUAAUAGCUCACUGGUCGAGUCGGCCUGCGCGGAAGAUGUAACGGGGCUAAACCAUGCACCGAAGCUGCGGCAGCGACACUAUGUGUUGUUGGGUAGGGGAGCGUUCUGUAAGCCUGCGAAGGUGACCUGUGAGGGUUGCUGGAGGUAUCAGAAGUGCGAAUGCUGACAUAAGUAACGAUAAAGCGGGUGAAAAGCCCGCUCGCCGGAAGACCAAGGGUUCCUGUCCAACGUUAAUCGGGGCAGGGUGAGUCGACCCCUAAGGCGAGGCCGAAAGGCGUAGUCGAUGGGAAACAGGUUAAUAUUCCUGUACUUGGUGUUACUGCGAAGGGGGGACGGAGAAGGCUAUGUUAGCCGGGCGACGGUUGUCCCGGUUUAAGCAUGUAGGCUGGUUGUCCAGGCAAAUCCGGAUAAUCAAGGCUGAGGUGUGAUGACGAGGCACUACGGUGCUGAAGUAACAAAUGCCCUGCUUCCAGGAAAAGCCUCUAAGCAUCAGGUAACAUUAAAUCGUACCCCAAACCGACACAGGUGGUCAGGUAGAGAAUACCAAGGCGCUUGAGAGAACUCGGGUGAAGGAACUAGGCAAAAUGGUGCCGUAACUUCGGGAGAAGGCACGCUGGUGUGUAGGUGAAGCCCCUGCGGGUGGAGCUGAGACCAGUCGAAGAUACCAGCUGGCUGCAACUGUUUAUUAAAAACACAGCACUGUGCAAACACGAAAGUGGACGUAUACGGUGUGACGCCUGCCCGGUGCCGGAAGGUUAAUUGAUGGGGUUAUCCGUAAGGAGAAGCUCUUGAUCGAAGCCCCGGUAAACGGCGGCCGUAACUAUAACGGUCCUAAGGUAGCGAAAUUCCUUGUCGGGUAAGUUCCGACCUGCACGAAUGGCGUAAUGAUGGCCAGGCUGUCUCCACCCGAGACUCAGUGAAAUUGAACUCGCUGUGAAGAUGCAGUGUACCCGCGGCAAGACGGAAAGACCCCGUGAACCUUUACUAUAGCUUGACACUGAACAUUGAGCCUUGAUGUGUAGGAUAGGUGGGAGGCUUUGAAGCGUGGACGCCAGUCUGCGUGGAGCCAACCUUGAAAUACCACCCUUUAAUGUUUGAUGUUCUAACGUUGGCCCCUUACCGGGGUUGCGGACAGUGUCUGGUGGGUAGUUUGACUGGGGCGGUCUCCUCCCAAAGCGUAACGGAGGAGCACGAAGGUUAGCUAAUCCUGGUCGGACAUCAGGAGGUUAGUGCAAUGGCAUAAGCUAGCUUGACUGCGAGCGUGACGGCGCGAGCAGGUGCGAAAGCAGGUCAUAGUGAUCCGGUGGUUCUGAAUGGAAGGGCCAUCGCUCAACGGAUAAAAGGUACUCCGGGGAUAACAGGCUGAUACCGCCCAAGAGUUCAUAUCGACGGCGGUGUUUGGCACCUCGAUGUCGGCUCAUCACAUCCUGGGGCUGAAGUAGGUCCCAAGGGUAUGGCUGUUCGCCAUUUAAAGUGGUACGCGAGCUGGGUUUAGAACGUCGUGAGACAGUUCGGUCCCUAUCUGCCGUGGGCGCUGGAGAAUUGAGGGGGGCUGCUCCUAGUACGAGAGGACCGGAGUGGACGCAUCACUGGUGUUCGGGUUGUCAUGCCAAUGGCACUGCCCGGUAGCUAAAUGCGGAAGAGAUAAGUGCUGAAAGCAUCUAAGCACGAAACUUGCCCCGAGAUGAGUUCUCCCUGAGACUUUAAGUCUCCUGAAGGAACGUUGAAGACGACGACGUUGAUAGGCCGGGUGUGUAAGCGCAGCGAUGCGUUGAGCUAACCGGUACUAAUGAACCGUGAGGCUUAACCUU
rnacentral:rRNA from 1 species